rnacentral:lncRNA from 1 species
GAAGGUCGGUAAGCUCCCAAGUAUCAUUCUUCUCAAUAGAAUGGAUUUCCUCCUCCAUUGCUUUCACCCAACGUUCUUCUUCAAUUGCAUCCUUGAAAUUCACAGGAUCGCAAUCUGAAAACAAGGCAAAGUUCAAAAUAUCUUCUGUCAGUUAGAGUAUCAACAUAAUUACCGACCAUGCUGUAUUCGUCGUUGCCUCUGUGAUCGACCAUGCUGUAUUGGUUGUAUUUCUGAGGGAGACUGUUGUUGCN